GAUGAACGCUAGCGAUAGGCUUAACACAUGCAAGUCGAGGGGUAACGUGUUGGAAGCUUGCUUCCGAUGACGACGACCGGCGGAUGGGUGCGUAACGCGUAUGCAACUUGCCUCACAGUGGAGAAUAACCCGGAGAAAUCCGUACUAAUACUCCAUACCCUCUUAAGUACGCCUGUACAUGAGAGGAAACAUUUAUCGCUGUGAGAUAGGCAUGCGUCCUAUUAGGUAGUUGGUGAGGUAACGGCUCACCAAGCCGACGAUAGGUAGGGGUGCUGAGAGGCAGAUCCCCCACAUGGGGACUGAGACACGGCGCAAACUACUACGGGCGGCAGCAGUGACGAAUAUUGGUCAAUGGAGGAAACUCUGAACCAGCCAAGUCGCGUGAAGGAAGAAUGUCCUAAGGAUUGUAAACUUCUUUAGCGAGAGAGUAAGGCCCUCCACGUGAUGGGAGUUUGAGAGUAGCUCGAGAAUAAGUAUCGGCUAACUCCGUG
rnacentral:rRNA from 1 species